rnacentral:lncRNA from 1 species
CGGCCCGGCCUCCCGGUGCCGCCGCGCGUCCCGGGCGCGUCCGCCGCGCGCUCUCCCUGGGGAGAAAGAGAAACCGUGUAGACGGCCGGCGCGCGCUCACUCGCCGCCUCCUCUGCGGAGAGCGGCGAGGCCGGCCCGAGGCGGGCGCCGAGCGCGGAGCGGAGGGGGGCCCGAGGGAGGCGGGGGUGGAAUCAGCCCAAUUCCCGAGGCUGGCUCCGAGGGGGACCCGGAAUACAGGCUGGCGGGGGGCCGGCGGGGGCCGAGCUCCCGGAGGAGGGGAAGGCGGAGGUGGCCCCGUCCUUGGGCAUCAACUAUUGUCUAGGCGCCCGGGCCCCCGCUCGCGCCGUCCCCGAGGCUCAGCGCCCCCAUCCCGCCCGCCAGCAGAAAGAACUGAGGGGGCGGCCAGUACGGGAAGCAAGUGCGGGGGUCCGGGCUCCGAAGGUCCAAGUCUCGGGUGAGAUCACCACGGAGCGGCUUAGCGCGGCGCACAAGUCUCGCGAGAGAAGCGGCGGCUGGGCCCUGCAGGCGGAGGAAGUGGAAAAAGUCGCGGGAGGGUAGGGGACCGCGGAACUUCUGGUUGCUAUGACGACGGCAAAGCCCUGGAUUCCUGUCUCCUGCGGAGAGCAGAGGCUGCAAACGGCAUUCAAGCAGCCCUGAGGAGAGGUCCACAUGGUGAGCCACUGAGGGCCUUGCCAAGAGCCAGCACCAACGGUCCAGGUUUGGAGUGUACCACCUUGGAAGUGAAUCUUCCAGUCCAGUCAAGCCUUCAGAUGACUUCAGAACCGUCCAUGUAAGCCACUCUUGGAUUCCUGACCCACAGAAACUGUUGGAGGCAUUAUCAACAGUUUCUAACAUCACAGACAGACAAACAUGUGCCUCCUGAUUGAAAAAACAGAACAUCACCUGUAGUCUUGCCAGUGAGAUCAAACUGAAGUCCAAUUAACCUCUGGAUCCAGCUGCCAAUUUGCAGGAAAUAGAGGAGAGAAGCAUCUGUUGAACUGCACCAUGAGUAUACACUCAGCAAAGGCCAAACUGUGGAAAAUGAUACAGGUCAAACAGCCUGGAUUCUUUAACAGUAAGUGAUGUUUCUGAAGCACCAAUGAAAAUGAAGUCCUGAAGUCCUGUGCUCAAUAUGAAAUGUUGGAAGUUAGAAGAAAAAAACAAAACUUGGAUCCAAUCUCAAGGCACUUUUUGUUUAAUGGGAAGAAGUGGAUUAUUUUAAAAGCUACAAAUAAAGUUACAUAAAAGUAGCAAAGUUGAUAUA